rnacentral:rRNA from 1 species
UACGUAGGUGGCAAGCGUUGUCCGGAUUUACUGGGCGUAAAGAGCGCGCAGGCGGUCGUUCAAGUCGCGUGUGAAAGCCCCCGGCUCAACUGGGGAGGGUCACGCGAUACUGACCGACUCGAAGGCAGGAGAGGGAAGUGGAAUUCCCGGUGUAGUGGUGAAAUGCGUAGAUAUCGGGAGGAACACCAGUGGCGAAGGCGACUUCCUGGCCUGUUCUUGACGCUGAGGCGCGAAAGCUAGGGGAGCAAACGGG